rnacentral:rRNA from 1 species
AUUGAACGCUGGCGGAAUGCUUUACACAUGCAAGUCGAACGGCAGCACGGGAGCUUGCUCCUGGUGGCGAGUGGCGAACGGGUGAGUAACAUAUCGGAACGUAUCCAAUAAUGGGGGAUAACUAAUCGAAAGGUUGGCUAAUACCGCAUACGCCCUGAGGGGGAAAGCUGGGGAUCUUCGGACCUCGCGCGAUUGGAGCGGCCGAUAUCAGAUUAGGUAGUUGGUGAGGUAAAGGCUCACCAAGCCGACGAUCUGUAGCUGGUCUGAGAGGACGACCAGCCACACUGGGACUGAGACACGGACCAGACUCCUACGGGAGGCAGCAGUGAGGAAUAUUGGACAAUGGGCGCAAGCCUGAUCCAGCCAUGCCGCGUGCAGGAAGACGGUCCUAUGGAUUGUAAACUGCUUUUAUACAGGAAGAAACACUCGGACGUGUCCGAACUUGACGGUACUGUAUGAAUAAGCAUCGGCUAACUCCGUG